AAGUCGAACGCAUUGUGGUUGAAAUGAUAUGAAGAACUUGUUCAGAUUUGAUUUUCAACAUUGCAAUGAGUGGCGAACGGGUGAGUAACACGUGGGAAACCUACCUCUUAGCAGGGGAUAACAUUUGGAAACAAAUGCUAAUACCGUAUAAUAAUUAAAACCGCAUGGUUUUAGUUUAAAAGAUGGUCUUGCUAUCACUAAGAGAUGGUCCCGCGGUGUAUUAGUUAGUUGGUGAGGUAAUGGCUCACCAAGACAAUGAUACAUAGCCGAGUUGAGAGACUGACCGGCCACAAUGGGACUGAGACACGGCCCAUACUCCUACGGGAGGCAGCAGUAGGGAAUCUUCCACAAUGGACGAAAGUCUGAUGGAGCAACGCCGCGUGUGUGAUGAAGGGUUUCGGCUCGUAAAACACUGUUGUAAGAGAAGAAUGACAUUGAGAGUAACUGUUCAAUGUGUGACGGUAUCUUACCAGAAAGGAACGGCUAAAUACGUGCCAGCAGCCGCGGUAAUACGUAUGUUCCAAGCGUUAUCCGGAUUUAUUGGGCGUAAAGCGAGCGCAGACGGUUAUUUAAGUCUGAAGUGAAAGCCCUCGGCUCAACCGAGGAAUUGCUUUGGAAACUGGAUAACUUGAGUGCAGUAGAGGAAAGUGGAACUCCAUGUGUAGCGGUGAAAUGCGUAGAUAUAUGGAAGAACACCAGUGGCGAAGGCGGCUUUCUGGACUGUAACUGACGUUGAGGCUCGAAAGUGUGGGUAGCAAACAGGAUUAGAUACCCUGGUAGUCCACACUGUAAACGAUGAGUGCUAGUUGUUCGAGGGUUUCCGCCCUUGAGUGACGAAGCUAACGCAUUAAGCACUCCGCCUGGGGAGUACGACCGCAAGGUUGAACUCAAAGGAAUUGACGGGGACCC
rnacentral:rRNA from 1 species